rnacentral:tRNA from 1 species
GGGGUUGUGGCUCAGUGGUAGAGUGCUCGCCUAGCAUGUGUGAGGCACUGGGUUUGAUUCUCAGCACCACA